UUAGAAAAAUUGGGCACUUAUUGGGUAAUUGAGUCACUCAUAAUUUAUUGAUUACUUAUAUUGAUUUAAAUAAUUGUGUUUGAAUUAAACAGAAAUGAGGAUGCUCAAUUUGAAUCCCAUUGACAUACUGUCCAGUUGAAUGAGCCCUUGGGUGUUACAUUUUCAUUUUUUUUUUCUAAUUUUUUUUAUCAAUAAGUAAAUUAUGAUCCAAGAGAGUUGAAAUAAAGUUAUAUAUGAUGAACUAAUCUACGAGUAGGGGUGACAUGUACCCGGGCGGCUUGUCAGCUAGGCUUGCUCCAGCAUUAGCCCAUCAGUCAAGUAAACCUCUUGGGACUUCAUAAUUUGGCCCUUGAGCCUGACCCUUUUUCCUUAUUUUCUUAUAUAGUAACAUUAAAUUUUCCUAUUUAAUAUUCGAUAUUUCAAUACUUUUCUUUGAAUUCUGUUUAGAAAAUUGUAAAGUCCAGAUUGCUUAAUGGGCUAUGUCGAACUUGGGUGGCCGGUCAUGGCUCAGCUCGACUCAGAGCAAUAACACCCAUAUCUACGAGAACUAGAUGGCUCGCCCAUCACGAUUCUAAGCGUAGGGCAUGGGUGCUUGGGGGCAUUGUUUAUGUUUGAGGAUAGGCAGGUUCUAAGGUUGAAGGACAUUGUAGUAGGGGUGGUAAUCAAUCAGGCCGAGCCAACCUAUGGGCACAAACUCUAGGCUCAAAUUAACUUGUUUCCCAUAAGAGCUUAUGCUUUUAGGCCCAUGAGUCGAGCUGGCAUGGCUUGCUAGUUGCUGCCC
rnacentral:lncRNA from 1 species